UACAGAGGUCUCAAGCGUUGUUCGGAUUCAUUGGGCGUAAAGGGCGCGUAGGCGGCGAGGUAAGUCGGGUGUGAAAUCUCAGAGCUCAACUCUGAAACUGCACUCGAUACUGCUUUUCUAGAGGACUGGAGAGGAGAUUGGAAUUCACGGUGUAGCAGUGAAAUGCGUAGAGAUCGUGAGGAAGACCAGUGGCGAAGGCGGAUCUCUGGACAGUUCCUGACGCUGAGGCACGAAGGCCAGGGGAGCAAACGGG
rnacentral:rRNA from 1 species